rnacentral:rRNA from 1 species
CCCGGUGACAAUAGCAAGGGGGAAACACCUCUUCCCAUUCCGAACAGAGCAGUUAAGACCCUUCGCGCCGAUGGUACUGCAAGGGCGACCUUGUGGGAGAGUAGGUCAUUGCCGGGA